rnacentral:rRNA from 1 species
CUUGGUCAUUUAGAGGAAGUAAAAGUCGUAACAAGGUUUCCGUAGGUGAACCUGCGGAAGGAUCAUUAUCGAGUUUUGAAAGGGGUUGUAGCUGGCCUUCCGAGGCAUGUGCACGCCCCGCUCAAUCCACUCUACACCUGUGCACUUACUGUGGGUUUCGGAGGUGAAGCGCGCUUUCGCUCGCGGAUCUAACGGGCCUGCGUUUUACUACAAACACUUUAAAGUAAACGAACGUGUAUCGCGAUGUAACGCAUCUAUAUACAACUUUCAGCAACGGAUCUCUUGGCUCUCGCAUCGAUGAAGAACGCAGCGAAAUGCGAUAAGUAAUGUGAAUUGCAGAAUUCAGUGAAUCAUCGAAUCUUUGAACGCACCUUGCGCUCCUUGGUAUUCCGAGGAGCAUGCCUGUUUGAGUGUCAUGAAAUUCUCAACCUACCGGUCUUUGCGGAUCGGUAAGGCUUGGACUUGGAGGCUUGUCGGCCCGUGUGGUCGACUCCUCUCAAAUGCAUUAGCCUGUUCCUUGCGGAUCGGCUCUCGGUGUGAUAAUUGUCUACGCCGCGACCGUGAAGCGUUUGGCUGGCUUCUAACCGUCUCGGUGGAGACAACUUUCUGACCUCUGACCUCAAAUCAGGUAGGACUUCCCGCUGAACUUAAGCAUAUCAAUAAGCGGAGGA